rnacentral:lncRNA from 1 species
CGGCAUAAAAGAGGUGGGCGUCGUACGUCGUUACGCAGCGCGGUUGCUGGGCACCUCGACUAUCACCUGACCGUAGUAAUAUCUCCCGCUACGCGCGUUGUGACCAAUGCUGCAUACAGGAGAUGAGGGAGGACGGCCAGACACCUGGAAGCCGGAAAAUGGUGAAAGGCAGGAUUGGGAACCCCACAGACCGCAGCUCCUCCCAGGAGAACCCCACACAUGAGUCUGGAUCCUCGCCAUGAUCCUCCCGUGGCCCCCACACAAUCUGGGGAGACGCGGGGCCGCGGGCACUGCGCUGCCGAGAGGGCUCCGGACUGAGGCUGCAGUUGCUGCGCAGGGACGGCUCAGGAUGCCCGGGGUCCCGGCUGCUGGCCCAGCCCCACCCUGUGGCCGAGGGGACCCAGGGACGAGCUGCGCCAGGGAGACUCGGGUCCGCAGACCCCGGAAUCGCUGCUGACAGGCCCGGGUCCCACCACAGCAGAGAGCCUGUGUCAUCAGGGUGUCAUCACUGUCAUCAGGGUGAAGCACCUCCCCUACGGCAAUGGUUGCUCUAGAAGGUUUAAGAACCCCAGGUUUAAGUCAGGUUUGAACUAACUUCUUUGUUAUGCCACAACUAUGCCAUGGGUGUUAUCCCCCACUAAACCCAAAGGUCAAGCUCUCUGUUGUGGGAGAGGCGCAUGAAGCAGCAGCAAUAGCACUUUAGGGUCUUGGGAAAGCUUCUGCUGUUAAAGAGUGUGGACUCAGUCCAUCAUCUAAUGGCUG